rfam:Lepisosteus oculatus linkage group LG6, whole genome shotgun sequence.
GCCAGCAGCCGUAUCACCCUGCAACUCACAACUGGGCAACCCACUGAAGCUCAGCAGGUGUGAGCCUGGUCAGUACCUGGAUGGGAGACCUCCUGGGAAAAACUAAGGUUGCUGCUGGAA